UGGGGUGUGGCUCAGUGGUAGAGUGCUGGCCUAGCAUGCCUGUGGCCCUGGGUUUGAUCCCUAGCACUGCAA
rfam:Ictidomys tridecemlineatus contig110297, whole genome shotgun sequence.